rnacentral:rRNA from 1 species
CUGGAGGUAUCAGAAGUGCGAAUGCUGACAUAAGUAACGAUAAAGCGGGUGAAAAGCCCGCUCGCCGGAAGACCAAGGGUUCCUGUCCAACGUUAAUCGGGGCAGGGUGAGUCGACCCCUAAGGCGAGGCCGAAAGGCGUAGUCGAUGGGAAACAGGUUAAUAUUCCUGUACUUGGUGUUACUGCGAAGGGGGGACGGAGAAGGCUAUGUUGGCCGGGCGACGGUUGUCCCGGUUUAAGCGUGUAGGCUGGUUUUCCAGGCAAAUCCGGAAAAUCAAGGCUGAGGCGUGAUGACGAGGCACUACGGUGCUGAAGCAACAAAUGCCCUGCUUCCAGGAAAAGCCUCUAAGCAUCAGGUAACAUCAAAUCGUACCCCAA